GAAGAGAGGAGAGAAGAGAAAGAAUGGAAAAAUAAAUAAAAAAUUUUAAAAAUUAGAAAAUUAAGGGGCUGUUUGACAACAAAACAGAGUUUAUAAUGUUUUUAACACUUUUUACGCGCUCAAUGCGCGUGACUAACACGCAAUGGGUCAAGUGAUAGAUGUAUGUCAUUAAAAUAUGAAGAAAAAAAAAGUUUGGGGAUAAUAAGACCCUUGCAAAGUUUAGUAUGUUUAACUGGUAAUCCGGUCAAACUUCAGGUAUUUUUGUGAGUUUCUCCCUCAUCUUUACAUACUC
rnacentral:lncRNA from 1 species